rnacentral:rRNA from 1 species
UGGGGAAUAUUGCACAAUGGGGGAAACCCUGAUGCAGCGACGCCGCGUGAGCGAAGAAGGCUUUCGAGUCGUAAAGCUCUGUCCUUUGAGAAGAUAAUGACGGUAUCAUAGGAGGAAGCCCUGGCUAAAUACGUGCCAGCAGCCGCGGUAAUACGUAUGGGGCGAGCGUUGUCCGGAAUUAUUGGGCGUAAAGGGUACGUAGGCGGUUUUUUAAGUCAGGUGUCAAAGCGUGGAGCUUAACUCCAUUAAGCACUUGAAACUGAAAGACUUGAGUGAAGGAGAGGAAAGUGGAAUUCCUAGUGUAGCGGUGAAAUGCGUAGAUAUUAGGAGGAAUACCGGUGGCGAAGGCGACUUUCUGGACUUUUACUGACGCUCAGGUACGAAAGCGUGGGGAGCAAACAGG